rnacentral:rRNA from 1 species
CCUACGGGUGGCAGCAGUGGGGAAUAUUGGGCAAUGGGCGCAAGCCUGACCCAGCCACGCCGCGUGAAGGAAGAAGGCUUUAGGGUUGUUAAAUUCUUUUUAGAGGGGAGUGAAGAAGACGGUGUCUCUUGAAUAAGAUACGGCUAAUUACGUGCCAGCAGCCGCGGUAAUACGGAGGUGGCCAGCGUUGUCCGGAUUUCCUGGGUGUAACGGGCGUGCAGCCGGGAAGUCAAGUCAGAUGUGAAAUCCCGCGGCUCAACCGCGGAACUGCGUUUGACACUGUUUUUCUGGAGUACCGGAGAGGUCAGCGGAAUUCCUGGUGUAGCGGUGAAAUGCGUAGAUAUAAGGAAGAACACCAGUUGCGAAGGCGGAUGACUGGACGGCAACUGACAUUGAGGCGCGAAAGCGUGGGGAGCAAACAGGAUUAGAUACCCCAGUAGUC